GCUCAGUGGUAGAGUGCUUGCCUAGCAUGCAUGAGGCCCUGGGUUUGAUCCCCAG
rnacentral:tRNA from 1 species